rnacentral:rRNA from 1 species
AGCGAACGCUGGCGGCAGGCCUAACACAUGCAAGUCGAGCGCCCAGCAAUGGGAGCGGCAGACGGGUGAGUAACGCGUGGGGAUGUGCCCAAUGGUGCGGAAUAACCCAGGGAAACUUGGAUUAAUACCGCAUGUGCCCUUCGGGGGAAAGAUUUAUCGCCAUUGGAUCAACCCGCGUCUGAUUAGCUAGUUGGUGAGGUAAAGGCUCACCAAGGCGACGAUCAGUAGCUGGUCUGAGAGGAUGAUCAGCCACACUGGGACUGAGACACGGCCCAGACUCCUACGGGAGGCAGCAGUGGGGAAUAUUGGACAAUGGGCGCAAGCCUGAUCCAGCCAUGCCGCGUGAGUGAUGAAGGCCUUAGGGUUGUAAAGCUCUUUCGCCGGUGAAGAUAAUGACGGUAACCGGAGAAGAAGCCCCGGCUAACUUCGUGCCAGCCGCCGCCGUAAAAC